UACGAAGGGGGCUAGCGUUGCUCGGAAUCACUGGGCGUAAAGCGCACGUAGGCGGAUUCCUAAGUCGGUGGUGAAAUCCUGGAGCUCAACUCCAGAACUGCCUCCGAUACUUAGAGUCUUCGAGUCCGGGAGAGGUGAGUGGAACUGCGAGUGUAGAGGUGAAAUUCGUAGAUAUUCGGAAGAACACCAGUGGCGAAGGCGGCUCACUGGACGACUGUUGACGCUGAGGUGCGAAAGCGUGGGGAGCAAACAGG
rnacentral:rRNA from 1 species